rnacentral:rRNA from 1 species
GACGGGACCCGCACAAGCGGUGGAUGAUGUGGAUUAAUUCGAUGCAACGCGAAAACCUUACCUACCCUUGACAUGUCCGGAAUCCUGCAGAGAUGCGGGAGUGCCCGAAAGGGAAUCGGAACACAGGUGCUGCAUGGCUGUCGUCAGCUCGUGUCGUGAGAUGUUGGGUUAAGUCCCGCAACGAGCGCAACCCUUAUCAUUAGUUGCUACGCAAGGGCACUCUAAUGAGACUGCCGGUGACAAACCGGAGGAAGGUGGGGAUGACGUCAAGUCCUCAUGGCCCUUAUGGGUAGGGCUUCACACGUCAUACAAUGGUCGGUACAGAGGGUUGCCAAGCCGCGAGGUGGAGCCAAUCCCAGAAAGCCGAUCGUAGUCCGGAUUGUUCUCUGCAACUCGAGAGCAUGAAGUCGGAAUCGCUAGUAAUCGCGGAUCAGCAUGUCGCGGUGAAUACGUUCCCGGGUCUU